GUUAAUGAUUCCCCUUUUAAUUAGGAUUGGGCUGGAUUUUUGAUAGACCCAUUUAGAGAUCCAUGGUUUCGUUUUUGUUUUUUAAUACAGAAUCAAAUGUUUUUUUUUUCUUUUGGACAGAAGUGAUUAUAGCACGAUUCUUUGUCUUAUGGUCUUCAAAGAAUGAAUCCCUAAAAAUCAGAAGCUUUUCCGAUUUCUCAAUCAAUGUCAAAAGUUUCGAUCAUCAAUCGAGUCUCUGUACAUAUAAUUUCCAUAUCAGAUUCGGAAUUUCUCCAAAGAGAGAUCUUGGGCUAUUACUGUGGGUAUACGAACUUGCAUGAAUAAUGAUUGGAUGAUGAUUUUGUCUGAGGAAGACGAUUUACAAAGUUAAGCUUUCUAUUACAGCUCUUACAUAACAAAACAAUGUCUUAAUAUAUAUGGUUCUGAUUUUACCAAAUACAAUGUUUACAGAGAAGGCAAAAUAUUCGAGUUGAUUUCAAUCUGAGAAGACAAAUUUGAUGUCCUUUAGUAGCCAUAACGGAAUCUGGAAGCUAUUUUAAAGACCAGGCAACAUCUUUAAAGAAGGCAAAUGUGAAAGCAAUGAUAAAGCUAGUCCAGCUUCUGAAAGCACUGAUAAAGGGCUUAAUGUCAGCAAGAGGGGUGAAUGCUUGAAUAGCUGCCAUUUUAUUAGAGAAAUAGUGAAGUGGUAAUGGUAAAGCUUUGAAAGAUUCGGAAAUUUGAAGUAAAAGGGAUUAACGAUGGGCCUGUAGGAAAUAUCUAAGCCCAAUAGGAAAUAUAGAAUCUCAUCGGGUCAGAUUCACAGACGCAAAAGAUCCGAGUGUAGGAUCCGGGAUCCGCGUCUCGCGUGCGGGAAUUUUACAAUUUUACCCCUCCACGCAAAUUUUUAUUUUGUCUUUGAAAUUUUAAUUGUAAUGGCAUUCUCUUGUAAUUAUUUACACUUGGUAAGGUUAUUUUUCAUGUAAUCCUUCCCAAUUAAUAGUAUAGAUAAU